CUCAGGUUUAAAAGUCUAAUACCUCCAGGGUUCAACUGGCCCACAAAAGAGGAGGUUUCUCUGUUGAGCAUGUGUCAAGCCUUAGCAGAACCCAUGAGGAGAACAUUCUGCCCCUUGAUGUCUCUGUGAAUAACGUGGUGAGCGUGGAGGUGCGCCAGACCCUGCAAUACAUAAAUCUGUCAUGGGAAACAGCAAAUACCAGUAAUGCUCUUAACAGUGGAAGUUGCAAGAAAAUCAAGCCAUGCAAUCCAAUCAAAAAGGCCAUCAAUGAAUGAUCAAUAUUGAUCCUCAUCCCCCAAGGACCAAUUCUGAUCAACAGUAAAGGAAUUAUGGAACUA